rnacentral:rRNA from 1 species
UACGGAGGGUGCGAGCGUUGUCCGGAAUUAUUGGGCGUAAAGAGCUCGUAGGCGGCUUGUCACGUCGGGUGUGAAAGCUCGGGGCUUAACCCCGGGUCUGCAUUCGAUACGGGCUGGCUGGAGUGUGGUAGGGGAGAUCGGAAUUCCUGGUGUAGCGGUGAAAUGCGCAGAUAUCAGGAGGAACACCGGUGGCGAAGGCGGAUCUCUGGGCCAUUACUGACGCUGAGGAGCGAAAGCGUGGGGAGCGAACAGG